AAUUAAUAAUAAUAAAAAAAAAACAAAAAAACAUAAGAAAUUGUGCAAUCAUAUUUAAUAAAAAUUAUAAACUAAAGAACACUUUUCACACAGCGUUGCAGAAGAAGAGCAAACUUUGUUUUUAAAUGGAAAAAGCUUUUACUUUUCUUUUCCUUUGCGCGUCAUUCAACUGAAAAUUGAAUUUAUGAUAAGAAUUUGAAGAUUUGUUAGGAGAAACAAGAAAACAAAAACGAAAAAAGAAAUUAACAGCUAUUGAAUUCUACGGACGGUCAGCAACAGCGAAACACAAAUUUCAACAAGGUUUUCAGUCUAGAACAACACACAAAUCACAACAACAACAAACCCCGCUACUGAUAAAGAAUUGCAGCUAACGUGCGGAUCGUCGUCACUUUCGAAAACCCAAAAUCAAACAACAAAUCUCGCUGUGUUACAACAUAACGUCGUCAUUGUCAACCACUUGGCAACUCGAGAGACGGCGACAAACUGACUUUGACACACCAACUUGGUCGGAAAACAAGCGAGAGUGAGUUAGAAAAAAA
rnacentral:sRNA from 1 species